UCUUGAUUGGUCUAGUGGUUAGGAUACCUGCUUGUCAUUUGAUAAGGACGAGCCGCAGGUGGCCGGGGUUCGAUUCCCCGAUCGAGAG